GAUGAACGCUAGCGGCAGGCCUAAUACAUGCAAGUCGCACGGACGCUUUUCGGGCGUUAGUGGCAAACGGGUGCGUAACGCGUAAUCAACCUGCCCCCGACUGGGUCAUAGCCCGGCGAAAGCUGGGGUAAUAGCCCAUGGCACGGGGUUUCGGCAUCGGGACCUGGUUAAAGCAGCGAUGUGGUCGGGGAGGGGAUUGCGUCCGAUUUAGCUAGUUGGGGGGUAGUGGCCCACCAAGGCGAUGAUCGGUAGGGGCUCUGAGAGGAGCGGCCCCCCACACGGGCACUGAGAUACGGGCCCGACUCCUACGGGAGGCAGCAGUAGGGAAUAUUGGGCAAUGGAGGCAACUCUGACCCAGCCAUGCCGCGUGCAGGAAGAC
rnacentral:rRNA from 1 species